GGGCCCGCACAAGCGGUGGAGCAUGUGGUUUAAUUCGAUGAUACGCGAGGAACCUUACCAGGGCUUAAAUGUAGAGUGACAGGGCUAGAGAUAGCUUUUUCUUCGGACACUUUACAAGGUGCUGCAUGGUUGUCGUCAGCUCGUGCCGUGAGGUGUCAGGUUAAGUCCUAUAACGAGCGCAACCCCUAUCGUUAGUUGCUAGCAGGUAAAGCUGAGGACUCUAGCGAGACUGCCGGUGCAAACCGUGAGGAAGGUGGGGAUGACGUCAAAUCAUCACGGCCCUUACGUCCUGGCUACACACGUGCUACAAUGGUAUGGACAAUGAGCAGCCACAACGCGAGUUGGAG
rnacentral:rRNA from 1 species